AAAGGUUUCGCGCUUAUUCUAUAGUGAUAUAGCCACCUGUUCCAGUUGGUGGACAGUAUCAGUAAUAAUGGCAAACAGAAAACGGAUACAGACCAGAGGAAAAAAACAUGUAGAGGAGACAGAAGCGGAAGGCAGCAGUGUUGGUGCGUCAGCAGCCCCCACAGCACAGCUGGCACUAAACAAUAAAGCACAUGAGUUGCAGAUGUGCAAAAAGAAAAUGGAAUGGCAGAAUGACUGAGAAAAUAGAGGAGUUGACCAAGGAGAGAGAUUUCCUCAAGGAACAACUAGUAUCCGGCAAGUCUCCCAACAAAAUGUUUAGUCAAAGUGUUGGUUUGUUUUUAGUAGGGUAGAAGGAAGGCAUUGCGUGUCCUCUUCGCCUCCAGUCCGCCACAGUCAUCUGCCGAGUGGUCCAAGAAUGUGGGCUUUGACUUCGAACUUCGUAAUUCGAAUAUAAUUCGAAUAUCAAAAAAUAAAUCAAAAUUCGAACAAAUAUUAGGCAGCCCUUAAUAUUCGAACCUGUUAUGGGCAGGCCAAGAGGGAGAGACGUCGGAUUACCUGACGCAGUCUAUUCAUAAUAUUGUAAUGACCACGGAAGAGGCAGUGACUGAAGUAUUGAUUAGACAGCGAUUUAUUAGAAACCUAAUAAACCGUUGGAACACGCAAGACCGGUAACCAUAGCAACGCCGGUAAACCAACCUCGCAAAACCCAAUCCAGGGCUGAAUCCGAAUACUCAUUCUUAUAGUAUGCAUUUUGUAGUACACCACAAAUAUAGCGCGUCCGAAUGCUCAGUACGCAUUGUGUAGUAUGGAAAACGUUAAAGAAUGCGUACUACCGCCACAGUAUACAACGGUAGGUCCCUACGCUAUCCCACAAUGCAACCGGAGUCUGGUAACGAACGAAGAAGAGAUGGCUGACCCGACACUAACAGCAGCUUAGAAAGACGUCGUAGAAAGCGGCGAAAAAAAGAGAUUAAAAAAGUAAACUCUUAAAAAAGAUGAGCCCAAAGCAACUGCCGGUUCCAGUAGUGUCUCUACACUGGACUCAUCUUCCUCCGAGAUGAGUUCAAAGAGUACGGACUCAGAGUCAUCCAACAGCUCAUCCUCAGGGGACAAGAAGAGGAAGAAGAAGGGGAAAGGGAGAAAGAAGCUAUCCAAGAGGGUUAAAAUGGAAAAAACACUGCAAAGAGCCCGGAAUCCCGAGCAGGCUUUGGCCCGGUACAAAAAGAUUCUUAAAUGCUACAAGAGGCUUGGAACCAUGUCUGGGGCAUUUCGAAAGGUCGGUGUUGACCGUAAUACAGUGGUGGUC